UACGUAGGCAGCAAGCGUUGUUCGGAGUUACUGGGCGUAAAGGGUGCGUAGGCGGCCUUUAUAAGUAUGGUGUGAAAUCUCCCGGCUUAACUGGGAGGGUGCGCUAUAGACUGUGGGCUAGAGUGUGGGAGAGGAAAGUGGAAUUCCGGUGUGAGCGGUGAAAUGCGUAGAUAUCAGGAGGAACACCGGUGGUGUAAACGGCUUUCUGGACCGAUAACUGACGCUGAGGCACGAAAGCGUGGGUAGCAAACAGG
rnacentral:rRNA from 1 species